GGAUUAGAUACCCUGGUAGUCCACGCCGUAAACGAUGGGCACUAAGCGUCCGACGGGUUCGACCCUGUUGGGUGCUGCAGUUAACGCGUUAAGUGCCCCGCCUGGGGAGUACGGUCGCAAGACUAAAACUCAAAGGAAUUGACGGGGGCCCGCACAAGCGGUGGAACAUGUGGUUUAAUUCGACGCAACGCGAAGAACCUUACCUGGGUUUGACAUCCCCGGCCGACACCAGAGAUGGUGUUUUCUCUUCGGAGACCGGGUGACAGGUGCUGCAUGGCUGUCGUCAGCUCGUGCCG
rnacentral:rRNA from 1 species